UACGAAGGGGGCUAGCGUUGCUCGGAAUCACUGGGCGUAAAGCGCACGUAGGCGGAUCAGCAAGUUAGGGGUGAAAUCCCGGGGCUCAACCCCGGAACUGCCUUUAAAACUGUUGGUCUGGAGGUCGAGAGAGGUGAGUGGAAUUCCGAGUGUAGAGGUGAAAUUCGUAGAUAUUCGGAGGAACACCAGUGGCGAAGGCGGCUCACUGGCUCGAUACUGACGCUGGGGUGCGAAAGCGUGGGGAGCAAACAGG
rnacentral:rRNA from 1 species